CAAUGUCUUGUUCUUGCUUGGGGUUUGUAUGAUUAGAAACCUAAUCUCGAGAACUCAAAGCUUGUUAGGGUUUUCGCUAAUUUCUCUUAGAAAUGCAGGGAUCUGAUAUCUAAACUUGUAUUUCGUGCUCCAUUUGCGUCGAAUCGAUCUCGGUGCUCCCAUGAUUCAAGAAAAAGAGGCCUCUUAGAACUAACAGAUCGAUGUGGUACUUUAACUGGUUUUAGUAAUGAGGUACUUAUUUGGGUUGCAAUUCCAAGUUGUUUCCUUAUUCAUUGUGUGGAAAACAUUGAAUGUGCUGGAUGAUUUCUAGUCUCUCUGAUUCAUUCUCUUCUCUAUUCUUUAUGAUUUCAAUGCAAUAUACAGUGCAGACAUAUUCACAACUAUAUAUUAAUGGGUUUUGAGGUUUUCUCAUCUAAUCAUCUGAUGGAGGGUUUGAUUGAUUCAUAUUCUCGUGGGAAUUUCAUAAUUUUUAUUGGGUUUUGGGAUUUGAGUUCCUUCCCCUUUUACUUUCCCUCCAUCC